UACGGAGGGUGCAAGCAUUAAUCGGAUUUAUUGGGCGUAAAGGGCGCGUAGGCGGACCUGCAAGUUAAGUGUGAAAUUCCGAAGCUCAACUUCGGAACGGCACUUAAAACUGCAAGUCUCGAGGAUUGGCGGAGAAAAUGGAAUUCCACGUGUAGCGGUGAAAUGCGUAGAUAUGUGGAAGAACACCGGUGGCGAAGGCGAUUUUCUAGCUUAUUUCCUGACGCUGAGGCGCGAGAGCAAGGGGAUCAAACAGG
rnacentral:rRNA from 1 species